AUCCUACGGGGGGCAGCAGUAGGGAAUCUUCCACAAUGGGCGAAAGCCUGAUGGAGCAACGACGCGUGGGUGAAGAAGGUCUUCGGAUCGUAAAACCCUGUUGUUAGAGAAGAAAGUGCGUGAGAGUAACUGUUCACGAUUCGACGGUAUCUAACCAGAAAGCAACGGCUAACUACGUGCCAGCAGCCGCGGUAAUACGAAGGUGGCAAGCGUUAUCCGGAGUUAUUGGGCGUAAAGGGAACGCAGGCGGUCUUUUAAGUCUGAUGUGAAAGCAUUCGUCUUAACCGGAGUAGUGCAUUGGAAAA
rnacentral:rRNA from 1 species